CCUACGGGUGGCAGCAGUGGGGAAUAUUGGACAAUGGGGGCAACCCUGAUCCAGCCAUGCCGCGUGUGUGAAGAAGGCCCUCGGGUUGUAAAGCACUUUCAGUGAGGAAGAACGCCUGGUGGUUAAUACCCAUCAGGAAAGACAUCACUCACAGAAGAAGCACCGGCUAACUCCGUGCCAGCAGCCGCGGUAAUACGGAGGGUGCGAGCGUUAAUCGGAAUUACUGGGCGUAAAGCGCGUGUAGGUGGCUUGAUAAGCCGGUUGUGAAAGCCCCGGGCUCAACCUGGGAACGGCAUCCGGAACUGUCAAGCUAGAGUGCAGGAGAGGAAGGUAGAAUUCCCGGUGUAGCGGUGAAAUGCGUAGAGAUCGGGAGGAAUACCAGUGGCGAAGGCGGCCUUCUGGACUGACACUGACACUGAGGUGCGAAAGCGUGGGGAGCAAACAGGAUUAGAUACCCUAGUAGUC
rnacentral:rRNA from 1 species